UUUUUUAUAUUUAUUCAUUCAUUUAUUUAUUUAUUUAUUUAUUUAUUUAUUUAUUUAUUUAUUUUUGAGGCAGGAUCUGGCUCCCUCACCCAGGCUGGAGAGCAGUGGAGCAAUCUCAGCUAACUGCAGCCUCUGCCACCCAGGCUCAAGCGACCCUCUCACCUCAGCCUCCCAAGCAGUUGGGACUACAGGUGUGUUCUGUCUGGCUAAGUUUGUAUUUUUAGUAGACACGGGGUUUCACCAUGUUGGCCAAGCUGGUCUUGAAGUCCUGACUUCAAGCAAUCCACCUGCCUCGACCUCCCAAAGUGCUGGGAUCACAAACUGAGCCACUGUGCCCAGCCUAAAAAUUAUUUUGUAAUUGUGAUAAGAUAUACGUAAUGUAAAAUUCACCAUGCAGGAGCAUUUUAAGAUCAGUUCAGUGGCAUUACAUACAUUCACAUUGCUGCAGCCAUCACCACCAUCUAUCUCCAGAAUUUUUUGACAAUCCUGAACUGGAACUCGGCACCUAUGAAAUGCUAACUGCCUCCCCCAGCCCGGCACCCACCACUCUACUUCCUCUCUAUAAAUUUGACAAUUGUAGGCUCCUCAUAGAAGUGGCAUCAUGGCCGGGCGCCGUGGCUCACGCCUGUAAUCCCAGCACUGUGGGAGGCCGAGACGGGAGGAUCACGAGGUCAAGAGAUGGAGACCAUCCUGGCUAAUACGGUGAAACCUCGUCUCUACUAAAAACUACAAAAAACUAGCCGGGCGAGGUGGGGGGGCACCUGUAGUCCCAGCUACUCGGGAGGCUGAGGCAGGAGAAUGGCGUGAACCCUGGAGGCGGAGCUUGCAGUGAGCUGAGAUCCGGCCACUGCACCCCAGCCUGGGCAACAGAUCGAGACUCCGUCUCAAAAAACAAAAAAAGUGGCAUCAUAAUGGCGUUUGUUUUUUAUGAAUGACUUAAGUCAUGUGGCGUAAAUUCCUCAACAUCCAUCUAUAGUGCAGCCUGUGUCCGAAUUUCCUUUUCAAGGCUGAGCACCCUUCCACUGGACCUUUCAGCCACAUUUUCCUUAUUCUUGUACCUGUUGAUGGACUUUUUCGUGGCGUCCACAUUCGAGCUCCUGUGAACGCUGUGGCUGUGAACCUGGGUGUGCAAAUAUGUGCUCAAGUCCCUGCUUUCAGUUCUUGGGGAUCUAUGCCCAGAAGCGGAAUGGCUGGAUCACGUGGUCAUUGCAGUUUUAAUUUUUUGAGGAACUGCCCUAAUGUUUUCCACAACAGCUGCACCAUGUCACAUUUCCGCCAGCAGUGCACGAGAAUUUUAAUUUCUCCCCUUCCUCAGCAACAAUUAUUCCUCUCCCGGCCGGGCGCCAUGGCUCACGCACUUUGGGAGGCCGAGGUGUGUGGAUCACCUGAGGUCAGGAGUUCAAGACCAGCCUGGCCAACAUAGUGAAACCCCAUCUCUACUAAAAAUACAAAAUUAGCGUGGCAUGGUGUCAGGUGCCUGUAAUUCCAGCUACUUGGGAGACUGAGGCAAGAGAAUGCCUUGAACCCGGGAGGCAGAGGUUGCAAUGAGCCAAGAUCUCACCACUGCACUCCAGCCUGGGCAACAGAGCGGGACUCUGUCUAAAAAAAAAAAAAAAAUCUUGCUCUCUGUAUUGGGGGCUUUAAAAGAAGCCGUCCAUCCCGCUGGGCCUGAGGUGGUCUCCCUGUUGUUCUGAUUUGCAUUUCCCAUUUCCCUAACGCUUGGUGGCACUCAGCCUCGUUUCAUGGGCAUGAUGGCCAUUCGUGUGUCUUCUGUAUUCCAGUCCUUUUCCAUUUUUUAAUCCAAUGGUUUCUCUCUGAUGUUGUUGGGGUGUAGGGUUCUUUACAUAUUCUAGACAGAAUGCCUGUUCUGAUACACUUUCUCCUAGUCCAUGCGUUGCCUUACAUUCUAUUAAUUCAUGUUUAUAAAGUCCCAUGUAUCUAUUUUACAUGUUUCUGCCUGUCUUUUUCCUGUCAUACCCUAGAAAUCACUACCAAGUUUAACAUCAAGAGGUUUGUGUUUUCCUUUGAGGUCUCAGAGUUUUAGGUCAUACACGUUGAACAAGCACCAGCACCAGCAGAGUGGAGCUGCCACCAGGGGUCACAGCCAAGCGUCUGGAGCGCAGUUGUGCACCGACCAGGGAAGGCCCAGGCCUGGGUGGGCCUUUCCGCAGGAUCCUGGAAUGUUGCUUAGGGGAGGCUGAGACCAGACUGGCAGUCACCUGUCUGGGAAAGCACCAGGCCCUGCGGAAGUCCCCAUGGUGACAGUCACGUCCUGGCCACGUGAGCGAGUGUGGGGGAGGGAGGGCAGGGAGGCGGAAGUCCUGGUAUUUUCCUACAGACUGGCACGGGCAGGACCUGAGCCGCCCGAAGCUGCGAGGCGCUGCCACUGCUCCUUCUGUGCCCGGUGCAACCCCAGCUCAUGGGGUCUGGGCUGCCUGUGAUCCCGUGCCCCCCACUUCACACUCAGGGUUCUGGCUUCCCCGCUGUGAGCCUGUCUCUCCUCUGUGGGAGGGGCCAGCCUGAGCAGCCAUCCCUG
rnacentral:lncRNA from 1 species